GAAAUGCGAUAAGUAAUGUGAAUUGCAGAAUUCCGUGAAUCAUCGAAUCUUUGAACGCACAUUGCGCCCUCUGGCAUUCCGGGGGGCAUGCCUGUCCGAGCGUCAUUACGCACCCUCAAGCCCGGCUUGUGUGAUGGGCCCUGGCGUCUCGUUCGCGAGACGGGCCCGAAAGGCAGCGGCGGCGUCGACCCGAUGAGCCCGAGCGUAUGGACUUUUGUCACACGUUUGCGGUGCGGACCGGCGCCUGCUUGACUUUUCUGAUUAUCCAGGCUGACCUCGGAUCAGGUAGGGAUACCCGCUGAACUUAAGC
rnacentral:misc_RNA from 1 species